rnacentral:rRNA from 1 species
CCUUUGACGUUAGCGGCGGACGGGUGAGUAACACGUGGGUAACCUACCUAUAAGACUGGGAUAACUUCGGGAAACCGGAGCUAAUACCGGAUAAUAUUUCGAACCGCAUGGUUCGAUAGUGAAAGAUGGUUUUGCUAUCACUUAUAGAUGGACCCGCGCCGUAUUAGCUAGUUGGUAAGGUAACGGCUUACCAAGGCGACGAUACGUAGCCGACCUGAGAGGGUGAUCGGCCACACUGGAACUGAGACACGGUCCAGACUCCUACGGGAGGCAGCAGU